GACGAACGCUGGCGGCGUGCCUAACACAUGCAAGUGGAGCGACGAACCAGACUUCGGUCUGGGGCCAAGCCGCGAACGGGUGAGUAACACGUGGGUAACCUGCCCCGAUGAUCGGGACAACCCGGGGAAACCCGGGCUAAUACCGAAUGUGAUCGCGGUCCGUGAGGACUGUGACGAAAGGAAGCUUCGGCCUCCGCAUCGGGAUGGGCCCGCGGCCCAUUAGCUUGUUGGUGGGGUAAUGGCCUACCAAGGCAUCGAUGGGUAGCUGGUCUGAGAGGACGAUCAGCCACACUGGGACUGUGACACGGCCCAGACUCCUACGGGAGGCAGCAGUGGGGAAUCUUGCGCAAUGCGCGAAAGCGUGACGCAGCAACGCCGCGUGGGGGAAGAAGGCUUUCGGGUCGUAAACCCCUUUCAGUUGGGACGAAGCUUCGCCGGUGAAUAGCCGGCCGGAGUGACGGUACCUUCACAAGAAGCCCCGGCUAACUACGUGCCAGCCGCCGCGGUAA
rnacentral:rRNA from 1 species